rnacentral:rRNA from 1 species
AUUGAACGCUGGCGGCAUGCCUUACACAUGCAAGUCGAACGGCAGCACGGGAGCAAUCCUGGUGGCGAGUGGCGAACGGGUGAGUAAUAUAUCGGAACGUGCCCAGUCGUGGGGGAUAACGUAGCGAAAGUUACGCUAAUACCGCAUACGAUCUAUGGAUGAAAGCGGGGGGAUCGCAAGACCUCGCGCGAUUGGAGCGGCCGAUAUCAGAUUAGGUAGUUGGUGAGGUAAAGGCUCACCAAGCCUUCGAUCUGUAGCUGGUCUGAGAGGACGACCAGCCACACUGGGACUGAGACACGGCCCAGACUCCUACGGGAGGCAGCAGUGGGGAAUUUUGGACAAUGGGGGCAACCCUGAUCCAGCCAUGCCGCGUGUGUGAAGAAGGCCU